AGCAGGCCACACUUUGCACUUUGGUGUUCAUUUCGAGUUGAUUUUCAUUAUGCGCAGCUUCUUGUGUCAUUUAUCAUCUGCUGUCGAAGCAAGUGCAUACAAUUUGUCUUUAAUACUUACAGAAACCCAUGGCGUAGUGUGGGGUUAGCCUUCUAAACGACACGCGCCAGUAGCGAGGCCAAAACUGAAACAAACAAAAAUCGAGUAGUAUGGCAGGAGGCGAUUGAACCACUUUCAAACCUCAAACCUUUCUGAAUAUUCACUCCCCUUUAGCCUUUGUAGUAUUUGAGCAUUGCUUUACAAUUGCUAGCUCGCCUCAGUAUCACCCUUGUCAACCCUUGCUACUUAUGACUGCCCUCCAACUGAAAAUCUAAGAGUAAUACUACAUACAAGUAUCUGUGUAUGUAAGAAUAUGUACAAAUGUGGAUGCAUCAUAAAACCAACAUCGGUCAAUGGCAAAACAACCUACAUGUUAAAUAAAAAAGAAAACAACAAGAAACACCAAUACUGAAUUUUCAAUUGAACUCCUCACCCAUUUCGUCGCGACUUAUAAAAUGCUACAGGACACAAGCCGAAAUCUACACAUGCAUAGUCGGAUCGCCUUUGACUGCCAUAGACUCUCAGCAUUGUUUACGAGCUCUCGGCAGAAGCCCUUGCUGGCACGUGUUGGCAUUAAAA